UCUAGAGGAAGAGGUGAGUCAACUCGAGCACUCCACGCAUUAAUCUGAUAGCGAUGGAGACAUGUGCCCGAUGAAUGAAACGCCACUAAACUUCACUGCAUGAAAGAUGUCACCGGAGCAAUUCACCGAGAAUCCACCGGAACACAUCAGAACAGGAAGUCACAUGAGAAGAAGCCGUCGGACGACUUUAAAAAUUAAAAGAGCCAGAUGAUCUUCGCCUCAAUAAAGCUUCAAUUGGACACAAACCAAUCUUCAGACAUCGAUUCAGCUGAAAGAACCCCUAGACACCUUUGGAGAUGAGAAGAAGCUUGAAGAUGUCACAGCCCUCAAAGAGGGGAGGAAGAGACAAUCGCAUGUCAAGAUCAGAAGUCAAUUAAAGCGAUGAAGAUCAAGAAGCGUAGAUCUAACAUAACCCAGAUGAAAUCCGGAGAUAGCCAACAACGCCACCGAUGAACAAGCGGCAAUCGUCAGAGUCAAAAGCCAGUGACAAUCAGAGAGUCAGAUACAUCACUAGAGUCAAAAGCCGAAAGUUCCGUCAAAGAGAACGCGAGCAACCAGAGUCAAAGCCAGCCGACCACCAUAAAGAUGAGAUGCUGGAAAGAGGAUCCAACCGGACAGAAUUUCGCCGUAAACACUGGCAUGAGUUUUCUCUCUUCACUUUCUCUAAUUUUGAAAUGUGAAAAGAAGGAGAGAGAACAAAAAGAAAGAGAGAGAAAACUGCGUUACUUUUUCAGCACCUUUGUUUGUUUAUAGAUAUAAACUUGAGGUAAUACCACACUGAACAUUCAAUAAUUUUCAUAAAAUUAGAAAAUUGUAUAAAAAGAAUUAUUUAUUGUUUUUGAAAUGUGAAAACAUUUUUGUUUUCAUCAAAUUCGUUCGAGUUUGUUCUAUGUCGUGAAGGCGGUUCUCGAUUCUUAUAUAAAAACAAUUAGACCAUCGUUAUCGCCGUUCCUUAACAAGGUUUUUAGUGUAAUUGAAUCAAAAUUAGCUUUUAUUAGAAAAAAACGUUCCUUGAUUAAGGGACAAUACUAAACGUUUCUUAGUAACACGUGUCUCUCAUUGAGGAAUUUGGAUUUCUUCUCUCUCCAUCUCUCUCUUGACAAAAAUUGUUCUUCUCUCCACAUCUCUCUCUGUGAUUCUCCUCAUCGCAUCCUCUGUUUCUUGAUCUCUAUAUUCUUUUCAUGAUAAUAAUGGGAAAAAGCACAAUCAAAGAAGGAGAAUGAGAUCCCUAAUGUGUAAAAUCACACAACGAGAAGCCGCAUAGAUUGAUGAGACCUUGAUGUGUCCUCUUGGCUUCUCCGUUGAUCAGCUCAUGGUCUUCUUUUCUUCUUCUCCCUCUUCCGCUUUUGAUUUUACCCGCAGAGAUUGAUCAGACCUUGAUGGGUCCUCGUGGCUGAGGUUUAUCUUGGCGUGGUUAAGGUCUUACAUGGAUUGUAUGGAUUGAGAUCAAUUUCCCUGCAGUGGCUGAGGUUUCCAGAGCAGUACAGGUCCAGGAUCACUGCAAUAAAUGGAUGAAACCGCCACCAGGAGAUUGAUCAAAGUUACUUUAUUACCACUGUUGCUGGGAAGAAGGCUCUUGAAAGUUCUGGUCUUGGUGGUGAUAAGCUUAGCACGGUACUACUCUUUUAGAUUGAUCAAAGUUCAGAGCUUUGACUCAUUCAGUUUAGAUGCUAAAUGACAGCAGGGAAGUGAAAGAUUAUUCCUUAAGCUGCUGGUGUCAUCAUCCCUUUAGCUUUGACCCUUCUGGUCCACAACGCUAAGAGAGACAAAGAAACGAGGAGUGACUGUCGACGACGUCGGUGGAGAGCCUGGUCACACCGUUAGGAACCACAGGUUCAAAGAUCCAGUCAGCUCCCACUGGGAAGACAUCUCCACUUUCCCGGAGCUCUUCGACAUCUCGUGUAAGAACCACAGCGACAAGUUUUUCCUCGGGACCAGGAGGCUGAUCGCUAGGGGGGUCGAGACUAGCGAGGACGGGAAAGUGUUUGAGAAGCUUCAUUUGGGUGAUUACGAGUGGAAGACGUUCGGAGAAAUGCUUGACGCUAUGUAGUUUUGCUUCUGGUUUGGUAAGGAUUGGUUACUAGGAACCAACCUAAAAGUAUCAGCAAUAAUCUCUUUUUUUCUUAAUGUUCCUUAACAUUAUUCUUUAGCUCAAAAAUACUAAUAAACAAUGCUAAGACCUCUCUAACAAUAAUGUUGCUCUUAAGACAAUU